AAACCACCCGGUAUCCUGGGUGGUGGAUCACGGUGCCCGGGAACGCCCUGCGAAUGGGCGGCGGCCCUCGCCACUGUGAUCGGGGUGACCCCGCCCGGCGGAGGCCACCGGCGGCGGCGGGCCGAUGGCAAAGGCCCGCCGGCGGCCGGGAAGGCGCCGGGCGGAUCCCGCGGCCCGCGGGUGCCCCGUCAGCCAGGAGACCGGCCGGGAUCCGACCGCGGCG
rnacentral:ncRNA from 2 species